UUCGCAAUGCCCGAAAGGGUGACGAAGCGACGCCGCGUGCGGGAAGAAGGCCUUCGGGUUGUAAACCGCUGUCGGGAGUUAAGAAAUGCAAGGGUGUUAACAGCAUCCUUGCUUGACUAAGGCUCCGGAGGAAGCCACGGCUAACUCUGUGCCAGCAGCCGCGGUAAUACAGAGGCGGCAAGCGUUGUUCGGAAUUAUUGGGCGUAAAGAGCACGUAGGCGGCCGUGUAAGUCGGUUGUGAAAGCCUUCCGCUCAACGGGAGAACGGCAUCCGAUACUGCAUGGCUCGAGUGCGGGAGGGGAGAGUGGAACUUCUGGUGGAGCGGUGAAAUGCGUAGAUAUCAGAAGGAACGCCGGCGGCGAAAGCGGCUCUCUGGUCCGUAACUGACGCUGAGUGUGCGAAAGCUAGGGGAGCAAACGGGAUUAGAUACCCCGGUAGUCCUAGCCGUAAACGAUGGGCACUAAGUAGAGGGGUUUU
rnacentral:rRNA from 1 species